rnacentral:rRNA from 2 species
UGCAGUCGAGCGAACUGAUUAGAAGCUUGCUUCUAUGACGUUAGCGGCGGACGGGUGAGUAACACGUGGGCAACCUGCCUGUAAGACUGGGAUAACUCCGGGAAACCGGAGCUAAUACCGGAUAACAUUUUUUCUUGCAUAAGAGAAAAUUGAAAGAUGGUUUCGGCUAUCACUUACAGAUGGGCCCGCGGUGCAUUAGCUAGUUGGUGAGGUAACGGCUCACCAAGGCAACGAUGCAUAGCCGACCUGAGAGGGUGAUCGGCCACACUGGGACUGAGACACGGCCCAGACUCCUACGGGAGGCAGCAGUAGGGAAUCUUCCGCAAUGGACGAAAGUCUGACGGAGCAACGCCGCGUGAGUGAUGAAGGCUUUCGGGUCGUAAAACUCUGUUGUUAGGGAAGAACAAGUACAAGAGUAACUGCUUGUACCUUGACGGUACCUAACCAGAAAGCCACGGCUAACUACGUGCCAGCAGCCGCGGUAAUACGUAGGUGGCAAGCGUUAUCCGGAAUUAUUGGGCGUAAAGCGCGCGCAGGCGGUUUCUUAAGUCUGAUGUGAAAGCCCACGGCUCAACCGUGGAGGGUCAUUGGAAACUGGGGAACUUGAGUGCAGAAGAGAAAAGCGGAAUUCCACGUGUAGCGGUGAAAUGCGUAGAGAUGUGGAGGAACACCAGUGGCGAAGGCGGCUUUUUGGUCUGUAACUGACGCUGAGGCGCGAAAGCGUGGGGAGCAAACAGGAUUAGA